UACGAAGGGUGCUAGCGUUGCUCGGAAUGACUGGGCGUAAAGGGCGCGUAGGCGGAUAUUACAGUCGGGCGUGAAAUUCCUGGGAUCAACCUGGGGGCUGCGUUCGAUACGUGAUGUCUUGAGUUCGGAAGAGGGUCGUGGAAUUCCCAGUGUAGAGGUGAAAUUCGUAGAUAUUGGGAAGAACACCGGUGGCGAAGGCGGCGACCUGGUCCGAUACUGACGCUGAGGCGCGAAAGCGUGGGGAGCAAACAGG
rnacentral:rRNA from 1 species